rnacentral:rRNA from 1 species
GAUGAACGCUGGCGGCGUGCCUAAUACAUGCAAGUCGAGCGAACGGACGAGAAGCUUGCUUCUCUGAUGUUAGCGGCGGACGGGUGAGUAACACGUGGAUAACCUACCUAUAAGACUGGGAUAACUUCGGGAAACCGGAGCUAAUACCGGAUAAUAUUUUGAACCGCAUGGUUCAAAAGUGAAAGACGGUCUUGCUGUCACUUAUAGAUGGAUCCGCGCUGCAUUAGCUAGUUGGUAAGGUAACGGCUUACCAAGGCAACGAUGCAUAGCCGACCUGAGAGGGUGAUCGGCCACCCUGGAACUGAGACACGGUCCAGACUCCUACGGGAGGCAGCAGUAGGGAAUCUUCCGCAAUGGGCGAAAGCCUGACGGAGCACCGCCGCGUGAGUGAUGAAGGUCUUCGGAUCGUAAAACUCUGUUAUUAGGGAAGAACAUAUGUGUAAGUAACUGUGCACAUCUUGACGGUACCUAAUCAGAAAGCCACGGCUAACUACGUG